UGAGGAAUAUUGGUCAAUGGGCGCGAGCCUGAACCAGCCAAGUAGCGUGAAGGAUGAAGGUCCUACGGAUUGUAAACUUCUUUUAUAAGGGAAUAAAGUCACCCACGUGUGGGUGUUUGUAUGUACCUUAUGAAUAAGCAUCGGCUAACUCCGUGCCAGCAGCCGCGGUAAUACGGAGGAUGCGAGCGUUAUCCGGAUUUAUUGGGUUUAAAGGGAGCGUAGACGGGCCGUUAAGUCAGCUGUGAAAGUUUGAGGCUCAACCUUAAAAUUGCAGUUGAUACUGGCGCCCUUGAGUACCGUUGAGGCAGGCGGAAUUCGUGGUGUAGCGGUGAAAUGCUUAGAUAUCACGAAGAACCCCAAUUGCGAAGGCAGCCUGCUAAACCGCCACUGACGUUGAGGCUCGAAAGUGUGGGUAUCAAACAGGAUUAGAUACCCUGGUAGUCCACACGGUAAACGAUGGAUACUCGCUGUUGGCGAUAGACUGUCAGCGGCUUAGCGAAAGCGUUAAGUAUCCCACCUGGGGAGUACGCCGGCAACGGUGAAACUCAAAGGAAUUGACGGGGGCCCGCACAAGCGGAGGAACAUGUGGUUUAAUUCGAUGAUACGCGAGGAACCUUACCCGGGCUUGAAUUGCAGACGAAUUGCUUGGAAACAGGCAAGCCGCAAGGCGUCUGUGAAGGUGCUGCAUGGUUGUCGUCAGCUCGUGCCGUGAGGUGUCGGCUUAAGUGCCAUAACGAGCGCAACCCUCGUGUCCAGUUACUAGCAGGUUAUGCUGAGGACUCUGGACAGACUGCCAUCGUAAGAUGUGAGGAAGGUGGGGAUGACGUCAAAUCAGCACGGCCCUUACGUCCGGGGCUACACACGUGUUACAAUGGGGGGUACAGCAGGCAGCUACCGGGCGACCGGAUGCCAAUCCCGAAAGCCUCUCUCAGUUCGGACUGGAGUCUGCAACCCGACUCCACGAAGCUGGAUUCGCUAGUAAUCGCGCAUCAGCCACGGCGCGGCGAAUACGUUCCC
rnacentral:rRNA from 1 species